rnacentral:rRNA from 1 species
CAGACGAGGAGCUUGCUCCUCUGACGUUAGCGGCGGACGGGUGAGUAACACGUGGAUAACCUACCUAUAAGACUGGGAUAACUUCGGGAAACCGGAGCUAAUACCGGAUAAUAUAUUGAACCGCAUGGUUCAAUAGUGAAAGACGGUUUUGCUGUCACUUAUAGAUGGAUCCGCGCCGCAUUAGCUAGUUGGUAAGGUAACGGCUUACCAAGGCAACGAUGCGUAGCCGACCUGAGAGGGUGAUCGGCCACACUGGAACUGAGACACGGUCCAGACUCCUACGGGAGGCAGCAGUAGGGAAUCUUCCGCAAUGGGCGAAAGCCUGACGGAGCAACGCCGCGUGAGUGAUGAAGGUCUUCGGAUCGUAAAACUCUGUUAUUAGGGAAGAACAAAUGUGUAAGUAACUAUGCACGUCUUGACGGUACCUAAUCAGAAAGCCACGGCUAACUACGUGCCAGCAGCCGCGGUAAUACGUAGGUGGCAAGCGUUAUCCGGAAUUGUUGGGCGUAAAGCGCGCGUAGGCGGUUUUUUAAGUCUGAUGUGAAAGCCCACGGCUCAACCGUGGAGGGUCAUUGGAAACUGGAAAACUUGAGUGCAGAAGAGGAAAGUGGAAUUCCAUGUGUAGCGGUGAAAUGCGCAGAGAUAUGGAGGAACACCAGUGGCGAAGGCGACUUUCUGGUCUGUAACUGACGCUGAUGUGCGAAAGCGUGGGGAUCAAACAGGAUUAGAUACCCUGGUAGUCCACGCCGUAAACGAUGAGUGCUAAGUGUUAGGGGGUUUCCGCCCCUUAGUGCUGCAGCUAACGCAUUAAGCACUCCGCCUGGGGAGUACGACCGCAAGGUUG